AGAUAUGGGUGGUGACAAUCCUGAAGUGGGCAAGAAAGCUAGAAACUCAAGCAAAUUUGAGCUGAGGAAAAGCCCAGUUUUCAGUGAUGAGGAUUCUGACCUUGACUUUGAUAUCAGCAAAUUGGAACAGCAGAGCAAGGUGCAAAACACAGGACAUGGAAAACCAAGAGAAAAGUCCAUAAUAGACGAGAAAUUCUUCCAACUCUCUGAAAUGGAGGCUUAUUUAGAAAACAGAGAAAAAGAAGAGGAACGAAAAGAUGAUAAUGAUGAUGAGUCAGGUAAAAGUUCCAGAAAUGUGAACAACAAAGAUUUUUUUGAUCCAGUUGAAAGUGAUGAAGACAUAGCAAGUGAUCAUGAUGAUGAGCUGGGUUCAAACAAGAUGAUGAAAUUGCUGAAGAAGAAGCAGAAGAAGGAAGCAUUUCUGAAAUAUGAAUGAAAAAAAUUACAUCUUUAGAAAAAGAGUUAUUAGAAAAAAGCCUUGGCAGCGUCGGGGGGAAGUGACAGCACAGAAGAGACCAGAGAAUAGCUUCCUGGAGGAGACCCUGCACUUUAACCAUGCUGUCUGGAUGGGUACAGUGCCCUCUUCUGCAAAGAGUUCACUUCUAUGCUUUUUCUGUGGUUCCAUUUCAUAGAAAGAUUUGGGGCGAUGUUUCUUUUCCCUUAACUUUUUAUUUUAAAAACUUGCAAACACAGAAAAGUUGAUAAAAUCAUACAGUGAACAUCUGUAUUCUAUUCAACUGGAUUCACUAGUUCACAUUUUGUCAUAUUUGUGUUCUCUUUUCCCCAUAUGGAAGAUUGUAUAUUUGCCCUUUUUCCCCCUGAAUCAUUUCAAAGUAAGUUGCCAGUAUCAUAGCAUUUCACUGUUAAGUACUUUUGCAGAUAUCUCCUAAGAACCAGGAUAUUCUCCUAUAUAAUCACAAUACCAUUAAUCCACCCAAAACAUUUAACAUCAGUACACUAAUGAUACCUACUGUAUAGAUUAUAAUCAGCUUCCUUGCAGUAAUCUGUUUAGAAGACUUGCAUCCUGUCACUGUCCACUGAUUAAAUUUUGAACUCUUAACUUGAAA